GCCCCGCCCUCGCCGGGCGCCCGCGUGGCGGGAACUCAGGAACGCGCCGCCGUCCCGCUGCUUCUCAGGGCUGAGCCAGGGACGCUUUGUCUUCGCGUCUGAAUGACGGAUUGACGGCCGUUUGCAGCGGCUCUGAAGCGAGUGCGGACGGUCUUAGGACGGUUUCCCUGACGGAUGCGCUUCCGGGGGAGAACCAGGAGAGACACACAACAUCGCCUGGGGCCACCUGCCCGAAGGUGCCCGGGAACACCCACGAAAACACAGAAACCUGGGCUUCGUUAUGCAGGAGUUUUGUUCCUGAAGAUGGCAUUGCUUGCGACCUCCCUCCCCACCCCACUCCUUUCUCCGGGAACAUGAACGUCUCUGGAUUUCUCAAUCUCUGAAUUUGCCAACACCACGAAAAUUCACACCCGAUGCUUUGCAAGAGCUGCUAUUUAUAGGAGCGCUGGGUUUCAGUGGCUUCUCUCCAGAGUUGCAAAGUCACUCUCUAAUGCAGCUGUUUCAUCAGGCACCGCCCCGUGUCCUGGGCAUCUGGUCUUUUUACAUUCCUUUGGGUGCACCCAUAAUAUUCUACUGGGGGCCGGAAGAGAGAAUUUUGGGCUCCAAUUUAGCUUCAUCAUGCAGAAUCGACCUUCCUUUUACAAACUCAUCCAGCCAUCCACUCACUGUUUGUGUGAACUCAGCAAGUUACUGAACCCCCCAGGCUCAGUUUCCCCAUUUGUAAGAUGGGGCCGAGCAGCCCUUAUGACGAGUCCGGGGAAUUGUGAAGUCCCCGGUGCAUGAAUGUCACCGCGAAUGUUGGCUGUAUGAUCACCAGUCACUCAGCAGCACUUGUGUGCACCUGCAUGGGGGCCCCGGGCCCACCAGACUCGGAGGUGACCAAUCUCAGUGCUGGUGAGAAGGGCUAUGACAGGGGCCCUCCAGGGCACUGGCCCUGAGCCCACAUCCCAGGCAGCAGUUAAAGCUGCCAAGGAGAGUGAAAAAAGCCACCCAGGAGCAACCCAGGGCUGGGUCUUGAUGGGAUGAAUAGGAGUUUUCCAGGUAGAAGGUGGGGGAGAGGGACUCGUAUGCAGUGGAGUCAGGAGUCAUUCUCAGGGACAGGUGGAGUGCAGUGGUCUCUAGGAAGAGACAGGUGCCUCAUACCACAUAGAACAAUUAGUUUAAAGUGGGUUAAAGACCUAGAUGUAGAAAUUCAAACUAUAAAUCACUGAGAAGACAUGGGGUGAAUCUUUUUGAGCUUGGUUUACUUAGAUAUGACCCAAAAAGCACAGAAACAAAAGAAAAAGAUAGAUAAACUGAAUUCCUCAAAAUCAACAAAUUUUGUGCUUCAAAGGACACCAUCAAGAAAACCAAAAAACAAUCUGCAAAAUGGGAGAACAUAUUUGCAAAUCACUUGUCUAUAAGAGACUUGUAUCUGGCAUAUAUAAAGGGGGUUAUAUUACACAAAGAACAAUUGCAACUUGACAACGAAAAGACAAGCAGCUCAAUUAAAAAAUGGCAAAGGGGCCAGGCGCAGCGGCUCACGCCUGCAAUCCCAGCACUUUGGGAGGCUGAGGCGGGCGAAUCAUGAGGUCAGGAGAUCGAGACCAUCCUGGCUAACACGGUGAAACCCUGUCUCUACUAAAAAUACAAAAAAAAUUAGCCACACAUGGUGGCGGGCGCCUGUAGUCCCAGCUAUUUGGGAGGCUGAGGCAGGAGAAUGGCGUGAACCCGGGAGGCGGAGCUUGCAGUGAGCUGAGAUCGCACCACUGCACUCCAGCCUGGGUGACAGUGUGAGACUCUGUCAAAAAAAAAGCAAAGGAUAUGAGUAGACAUUUCUCCAAGCUGAUGCACAAAUGACUGAUCAACACAAAAACAUGCUCCACAUAAGUAGCCCUCAGGGAAAUGCACCCACUAGGGUGGCUACAAUCUCUAUUAAUAAUUUUGUUUAACUGGAAAACAGCAAGUGUUGGUGGGGAUGUGGAGAAAUUGGAAACUUCAUUCAUCGCUGGAGGGAAUGUAACAUGGUGCGGACACCGUGGAAAACAGUCGGGCAGUUGUUCCAAACGUUACACAGAGUUGUCACAUGACCCAGCAAUUCUGCUCCCACAUAUAUGCCCAAGAGAACUGAAAGUGUGUCCACAUUAAAAACCUGUCCACAAAUGUUCAUAGCAGCAUUAUUAAUAAUACCCCGAUGUGAAAUUAACCUACAUGUCCAUCAACUGAUGAAACAUGGGCUGCAUCCAUCCAACGGAAUAUUAUCCGGCCAUAAAAAGGAAUGACAUCGAGUUGAAGGCAGGGUCUUGAGGAGAUAUUUGCACACCCAUGUUGCAUGUUCAUUGCAGCAUCAUUCAUGAGAACUGAGAGGUGGAGGAACCCUGUGCGCUGAAAUUGGGGCUGGCCGAGCCAGGUAGGAGGUGGACAGGCUCCCUGGCGGCUCUCCAGGGACGUCCUUCAGGGACAGCUUCGAGGACGUCCCAUGAGCAGUGCCCAUGUGGUCAAGGGCUUCAGUACCCGGCAGCAGCUCUCAGCCACCUUGACCAUGAGCAAGGAGAGGACAUAUCUGGUGCCUCAAAAGAACAUCUUUGCCUAAAGCUCAUCUGGGAGAGAGAGCAAGCAGACUGCAAAUUUCUGAAACUGCUUGAACCAAGUGCAUGAAUUUGGUGCAUCCUGAAGUCCCUCUGCCCAGAGAGGGCUGCUAGUCUGUGCAUGGCAGGAUGGACCGCUGCUCUGAGUCACCUUUGCUGAGCAGCCAAGGCUGGGCUUCCCUUGGAAUUGCUUCCGGAAUGAGAUAUUCAGGGCCAGUCCUUGGCUGUAGUUUCUAGACUUCUCCUCGACAGGGCAGCUCCUUGGUGCAGCUCCUGCUGCACUGCUGGCCCCGGUCUGGCUCUCUUGGUGGCUGUGGCCACCCGUGCCAUUGCAUGGUCCUAACAGUCUCUGUGUAUAUUCAGCUUGCUUCCUGCUGUGGGGCCCCACUCCUACUGCAGAACUCAGCCCCUGGUUCAAUGCUGACCUUUGUACCCCAGUCCCUUAACUACGCAGGCAUCUUCCUGUGUGUGUGGUGUUUUGUAGGUAUACAUCUCUCUUUCAGCAGCUAGCUGAAGUAUGAUUUGCAUACAACAAGCCGCAUUUAUCUAAAGUGUUAUCAGUUGAUAUGUUUUGCCUUUUGCAAAUGACACCAAAAGCAUCACCACAAUCGAGAUAAUAAACAGACCCCCCCAA